rnacentral:rRNA from 1 species
GAUUAACGCUGGCGGCGUGCAUAACACAUUCAAGUCGAACGGAAUAAGGGCUUCGGUCCUUGUUUAGUGGCGGACGGGUGAGUAACGCGUGAGCAAUCUACCUCCCAGUACGGAAUAACAACCGGAAACAGUUGCUAAUACCGUAUGAAAUGGCAGCAUCGCAUGGUGCAACCAUCAAAGAUUUAUCGCUGGGAGAUGAGCUUGCGUCCGAUUAGAUAGUUGGCGGGGUAAAGGCCCACCAAGUCGACGAUCGGUAGCCGGACUGAGAGGUUGAACGGCCACAUCGGAACUGAGAUACGGUCCAGACUCCUACGGGAGGCAGCAGUGGGGAAUAUUGGGCAAUGGGCGAAAGCCUGACCCAGCGACGCCGCGUGAGGGAAGAAGAUCUUCGGAUUGUAAACCUUAGUCAACAGGGAAGAAGAAAGUGACGGUACCUGUGGAGGAAGCCACGGCUAACUACGUG